rnacentral:tRNA from 1 species
AAGCGUGAGGUCGGAAGUUCAAGUCUUCCCAGGCCCACCACUUUCAUCGAGUGAGCAUUCGUCUUCUGGUUACGGGGCCAUAGCUCAGCUGGGAGAGCGCGUGCUUUGCAAGCAUGAGGUCGUCGGUUCGAUCCCGUCUGGCUCCACCAGAUGGUUUGAUCAUCGACUGAUCGUGCACCGUCGUCCGCGAAACAUCACUUCGCAUCCUGCUAGUCUGGAUAGACAGCAAGUUGCGUGUUUUCUGACAUCGUAAAGAGGAGAUCGAUCCGAGUUGGGUCGUGUAGCAGAUUGCUGCGCGGGCCCUCCAUUAUCUCCGGAUCAUUUUCGGCGCUCGACGCUGACCGCAAGGUUGGCUGCGAGUUGUAAAAUGAUCCUUUUAGCGAAGCUUGACCGCCUCGCUAUCGGAACGAUCUUACGAAGCAAGCUGGUCUUUCUAGUCAAUGUCCGGCUGCGACAAUCGUAUCUUCGAGGGUACGUGCCUUUAAUGGCAGUUGCGCAGACAACAUUCUGCCGAGUGUGUGGACAUUGAUAAUGAGAGC